rnacentral:lncRNA from 1 species
GGAAGUUGUUCAUGCUAAAUACUGUGCAGCAUCUUUAAAAGCUGCUGUGGCUGAGUGACUUCAAGGCCACAGUCCACUAAACUGGCAGCCACAGUCAGUUUUUUGCUUCUGCUCUUGGCACAUCUCAUACACAGCAUCAGUUAUUGAAUUUGCUUUUGUUUUUUCUUUCUUUUUCUUUUUUUUCUAGUUCUCCAGAUAUUGGUGCAUUGUUGUCCUGGAGGAUGCUCAAAGAGCAAGAUGUUUUUCUCACUUCAGCCAUGUGACACCAUGAAUAUGCAUUGGUGCACUCAAGCAUUUUCUGUUCUAUGAGAUCACUAAUCUGGUCACAGUGUACGCACUGAUUACAUGCUGCUAUAUGGGAGAGCAGUCUACUCUCUUCCCCUCUUGCUGCAGGUCAAGCUGCUUAUUAAAUGAGAGAACAUGCAUUUUCUCUUUUGAUGCUGUUUUCAAGAAGGCAAGACAGACUCCUUGGCAAAAAAAAGUUUGCAAAGGUAGGAUUAGAUAAUGCCAUACUUCAUCAGAGUAAAUAGUUUCUUUCUCAUUUCAUAAUGUUAAUUUAUAAACAGGAUUUCAG